rnacentral:rRNA from 1 species
GACGAACGCUGGCGGCGUGCUUAACACAUGCAAGUCGAACGGAAAGGCCUGCUUUCCCUUGUGGAUUGCGGGUACUCGAGUGGCGAACGGGUGAGUAACACGUGAGUGAUCUGCCCCCAACUUGGGUAUAAGCCUGGGAAACUGGGUCUAAUUCCCGAUAGGACUGCAGGGUGGUGCCUGUGGUGGGAAACGAUUUUCUAGUGGUUGGGGAUGAGCUCGCGGCCUAUCAGCUUGUUGGUGGGGGAAUGGCCUACCAAGGCGGCGACGGGUAGCCGGGCUGGGAGGGUGGACGGCCACAUUGGGACUGAGAUACGGCCCAGACUCCUACGGGAGGCAGCAGUGGGGAAUAUUGGACAAUGAGCGGGAGCCUGAUGCAGCGGCGCCGCGUGGGGGAUGACGGCCUGCGGGGUGUAACCUCCUUUCGACCGCGAGGAAGCCACCUGGUUGGAAGGGUGGUGACGGUAGUGGUAGAAGAAGCACCGGCUAACUACGUG